rnacentral:rRNA from 1 species
AUGCAGUUUUUGUUGCGUUUGCUUUCAAGCUUUUUUAUUUUCAUGUUUUUUGUUUUGUGUUCUUUGUUGUCGAUACAGAAAGUGCCAGAGAGGGUUGCUACAAGCUUGAACAUCCCUAAAAAAGGGUUGGCUUGUGUUCGUCUAAGCAGUGGGGAGGCAAAGACUCGUGUUGAAUACAGCACGUCUACUGAUGGACGUAUAGCUUUCAACAAAAAGCAGUGGAGGCGUUUCCUUUCAAAGACUACCCUGGAAAUCAAUGACUGCAUCUUCAUGUUCUUCAAGGCCAGCAGCAAGUCUUGCAUGAAUGUUACUGUUGUCGUCAGCAAGCUUUAA